GACGUAGGGGGCGAGCGUUGUCCGGAUUUAUUGGGCGUAAAGCGCGCGCAGGCGGUUCGGAAAGUCGGAUGUGAAAAUCCGGGGCUCAACCCCGGACGUGCAUCCGAUACUCCCGGACUGGAGGCAGGUAGGGGAGAGCGGAAUUCCCGGUGUAGCGGUGAAAUGCGCAGAUAUCAGGAGGAACACCAGUGGCGAAGGCGGCUUUCUGGUCUGUUCUUGACGCUGAGGCGCGAAAGCGUGGGGAGCGAACAGG
rnacentral:rRNA from 1 species